rnacentral:rRNA from 1 species
GACGAACGCUGGCGGCGUGCUUAACACAUGCAAGUCGAACGGUAAGGCCCUUCGGGGUACACGAGUGGCGAACGGGUGAGUAACACGUGGGUGAUCUGCCCUGCACUUCGGGAUAAGCCUGGGAAACUGGGUCUAAUACCGGAUAGGACCACUGCCUGCAUGGGUGGUGGUGGAAAGCUUUUGCGGUGUGGGAUGGGCCCGCGGCCUGUCAGCUUGUUGGUGGGGUGAUGGCCUACCAAGGCGACGACGGGUAGCCGGCCUGAGAGGGUGACCGGCCACACUGGGACUGAGAUACGGCCCAGACUCCAACGGGAAGCAGCAGUGGGGAAUAUUGCACAAUGGGCGCAAGCCUGAUGCAGCGACGCCGCGUGAGGGAUGACGGCCUUCGGGUUGUAAACCUCUUUCAGCACCGACGAAGCGCAAGUGACGGUGGGUGCAGAAGAAGGACCGGCCAACUACGUGCCAGCCGCCGCGGUAA